rnacentral:rRNA from 1 species
GAUGAACGCUAGCGGCAGGCUUAACACAUGCAAGUCGAGGGGUAUAGUAGCAAUACUUGAGACCGGCGCACGGGUGCGUAACGCGUAUGCAAUCUACCUUUCACAGAGGGAUAGCCCAGAGAAAUUUGGAUUAAUACCUCAUAGUAUAUAGACCUGGCAUCAGGAUUAUAUUAAAGUCACAACGGUGAAAGAUGAGCAUGCGUCCCAUUAGCUAGUUGGUAUGGUAACGGCAUACCAAGGCGACGAUGGGUAGGGGUCCUGAGAGGGAGAUCCCCCACACUGGUACUGAGACACGGACCAGACUCCUACGGGAGGCAGCAGUGAGGAAUAUUGGACAAUGGGCGCAAGCCUGAUCCAGCCAUGCCGCGUGCAGGAUGACGGUCCUAUGGCUUGUAAACUGCUUUUGCACAGGAAGAAACAACAUUACG